UUUGCGGCGCUUUACGACGGCAGGGGAGGGCUUGGAGACAGUUGCCUAGCGCGGAGGAGGAGGCGGUGUGAUGGGGCAGCGGCUCACCAUGGCCACUUGGGCGUCUGGCCGGACGCAGCUGGGCUUCCCCACUCUCCCCGUCGCCAGUGGCUUACACAUUGCCGUGCUGGGGCUGGAGGGAGACUGCCACUGCAUGAAUAUGCCCCUGCUUUCCUACUAGCCCUUUCUUCCUCCAGAAGUGAGGACUGUAAACUCUGCCUAUAGAUAACCCCCAUGUUCCUCACUGGGGGAGAUUUGAGGCAGGUCUGAGUUUGUACAAGUUGGAAGAAGGGAGAUUUUUGGGGUACAUCCCAUCAAGGUGAAUAGUCCCAUGAUGCUGUGGUAUAUGCACUACAAAAAUGUGGCAUUCGUCAUAUUGAUACAGCAAAAAGAUACGGCCGUGAAUUACUUCUUCAGAAAGCUAUCAAAGAAAGUGAUGUGAAGUGAGAGGACCUCUAGAUAACUACCAAACUCUGGCAUAGUGACUAUGGCUAUGAAAGCACAAAACAAGCCUGCCUGGAUUCAUGCAAAAGACUUGGUGUUCAGUACCUCAGGAUGAAACAUUUUUAUGUUGUUAAUAUACUGUGCCUCACGUGUGAGUCUUGGGGAAGAUAAAUAAAUUCUAGGAUGGACUUCAUAACAGAAAUAGACCACGGGUGCCAAAUUCUUCCCUUAGUUAUAUGUCUGCAAACCUCUUGUCCCAACUGAUCUUCAUGAGGGUUGCAUGUAUGUAACUGAGGGCACAGAAUAUGGCCCUAGAAUUGUAGCUGUUGCAAGAUCUUUUUUUAAUCAACUAGAAUGAAUUUUGUAAAAUUGCAUUUAAUCAUUAAAUUGAGUUGGGGAUCAUCAGGGCCGGCUCUAGCCAUUUUGCCGCCCCAAGC